CCCGGGAAGGGCAUACUAAAAUUACUAAAAUUCCAAAGUUUGGUUGCAAAAUGUUGUAAAAUAUGUAGAAAAUAUAGCCUUCCAAAGUUUGCAAAUUUUGUAUUCUUUUGUAUAAUUGCAAUUUUCGCAUGCAAUACAAAAGUGUACAAAAUUUGCAAACUUUGCAAGGCUAUAUUUUCCGUAUUUUGCAACAAUUCGCAACCAAACUUUGCAAUAAUUUACUUAUUUUAGUAUGCUCUUUCUAGCUGUGGUGAUUUAUUUGCAUCAAGGCCGGAUUUUGAGGGAAGUGUGGAGAGGUGCGCACCUCCCCAGAGAUCGUUUUGCACCUCCCCUGAGAAUUUUUCCACCUCCCUUGAAAGGUCAUGCACUUCCCCUUGGGAAAGUUUCAAUGAUGGAACAAAGUGAAAAUGUGAUGGUUGCUUAGGAUCUACACUUUGUGACGUAAGAAAGUUUUCUCUGUAAAAUUGAAACAGUGAUAGCCAUGUCAAGUACCCUUUUAAUGCAAUGUUUUGAAAGAAACAGU